rnacentral:rRNA from 1 species
AUUAUACAGCGAAACUGCGAAUGGCUCAUUAUAUAAGUUAUCGUUUAUUUGAUAGCACCUUACUACUUGGAUAACCGUGGUAAUUCUAGAGCUAAUACAUGCUAAAAGUCCCGACUUCGGAAGGGAUGUAUUUAUUAGAUACAAAACCAAUGCCUCCGGGGCUCAAUGGUGAUUCAUGAUAACUUCUCGAAUCGCACGGCCUUGCGCCGGCGAUGGUUCAUUCAAAUUUCUUCCCUAUCAACUUUCGAUGUUUGGGUAUUGGCCAAACAUGGUGGCAACGGGUAACGGAGGGUUAGGGCUCGACCCCGGAGAAGGAGCCUGAGAAACGGCUACUACAUCCAAGGAAGGCAGCAGGCGCGCAAAUUACCCAAUCCCGACUCGGGGAGGUAGUGACAAUAAAUACUGAUACAGGGCUCUAUUGGGUCUUGUAAUUGGAAUGAGUACAAUUUAAAUCCCUUAACGAGGAACAAUUGGAGGGCAAGUCUGGUGCCAGCAGCCGCGGUAAUUCCAGCUCCAAUAGCGUAUAUUAAAGUUGUUGUGGUUAAAAAGCUCGUAGUUGAACCUUGGGCCUGGCUGGCCGGUCCGCCUCACCGCGUGCACUGGUCCGGCCGGGCCUUUCCUUCUGUGGAACCCCAUGCCCUUCACUGGGUGUGGCGGGGAAACAGGACUUUUACUUUGAAAAAAUUAGAGUGCUCCAGGCAGGCCUAUGCUCGAAUACAUUAGCAUGGAAUAAUAAAAUAGGACGUGUGGUUCUAUUUUGUUGGUUUCUAGGACCGCCGUAAUGAUUAAUAGGGACAGUCGGGGGCAUCAGUAUUCAGUUGUCAGAGGUGAAAUUCUUAGAUCUACUGAAGACUAACUACUGCGAAAGCAUUUGCCAAGGAUGUUUUCAUUAAUCAGGAACGAAAGUUAGGGGAUCGAAGACGAUCAGAUACCGUCGUAGUCUUAACCAUAAACUAUGCCGACUAGGGAUCGGACGAUGUUAUUUUUUGACUCGUCCGGCACCUUACGAGAAAUCAAAGUGCUUGGGC